AGUGAACGCUGGCGGUAGGCCUAACACAUGCAAGUCGAACGGCAGCACAGUAAGAGCUUGCUCUUACGGGUGGCGAGUGGCGGACGGGUGAGGAAUACAUCGGAAUCUACUUUUUCGUGGGGGAUAACGUAGGGAAACUUACGCUAAUACCGCAUACGACCUACGGGUGAAAGCAGGGGAUCUUCGGACCUUGCGCGAUUGAAUGAGCCGAUGUCGGAUUAGCUAGUUGGCGGGGUAAAGGCCCACCAAGGCGACGAUCCGUAGCUGGUCUGAGAGGAUGAUCAGCCACACUGUAACUAAGACACGGUCCAGACUCCUACGGGAGGCAGCAGUGGGGAAUAUUGGACAAUGGGCGCAAGCCUGAUCCAGCCAUACCGCGUGGGUGAAGAAGGCCUUCGGGUUGUAAAGCCCUUUUGUUGGGAAAGAAAAGCAGCAGGUUAAUACCCCGCUGUUCUGACGGUACCCAAAGAAUAAGCACCGGCGAACUUCGU
rnacentral:rRNA from 1 species